UGGCUUUCUUUCUCUAUCACCCUUCUCCCCUCUUGACUUCUGGCUGUCUCUAUCCAAUAAGGAUAACAAAAUUAAAAUAAAAAAAAUUAAAUUCCUUCCCAAUAACUGUUUAUUAGCUGGAUUUUCCAGAAAAGCAAAUGGCAUUAGCCCCUAAUUCUUGAUGCCAUAGCACAUCUUUUUACUUUUAUGAGACAACAGAACCAGCCACCACUCAGCCAGAGCACAGGCGGUUCUAUGGGGCACAAACCCAGGAUGUUACACAUGCAAGUCCGGCCGGGGCUCUACUGCUGACCAAUCCCCCCCACAUCUAUGUAUGCAUGUGUGGCCAGGUUCUCAAGCAUGAAUGGCUCCACUAUUCCAGUCGCCAGCUCGUCAGCUCAGGCCUUCACGCAUGAGGAGGUACACACCGUAGCAGGGUUUAAGAGACCACCACAGCACUGAAGCUUCCUUCAAUGCAGUGGGGUCAAGCACAUGGCAAAGUGAGCUAUUCUGCUGGCCUUCCUUUUACUAUAUAGUUAAGGCCUCCUAGGGAAUUUGGCUUAAUACUUAAAAUUGAAGGUAGAAAACAAAAGCAAUUAUUUUCCAAAAGCACUGUUCUUUAUUUAUAUAGUGUCAUCACCACUUGUGGCAGAAGAGUUCUUUUUUCAAGGGCCUCCACAAUGUCGAUCUGUUGUUACCAAAUGCACAGGUGGGUAGACCACACUGUUCAGUCUCUCUCUGCUAGAGCGACAAGG